GCUCUGUUGUUAGGGAAGAACAAGUGCGAGAGUACUGCUCGCACCUUGACGGUACCUAACCAGAAAGCCACGGCUAAUUACGUGCCAGCAGCCGCGGUAAUACGUAGGUGGCCAGCGUUGUCCGGAAUUAUUGGGCGUAAAGGGCUCGCAGGCGGUUUCUUAAGUCUGAUGUGAAAGCCCCCGGCUCAACCGGGGAGGGUCAUUGGAAACUGGGAAACUUGAGUGCAGAAGAGGAGAGUGGAAUUCCACGUGUAGCGGUGAAAUGCGUAGAGAUGUGGAGGAACACCAGUGGCGAAGGCGACUCUCUGGUCUGUAACUGACGCUGAGGAGCGAAAGCGUGGGGAGCGAACAGGAUUAGAUACCCUGGUAGUCCACGCCGUAAACGAUGAGUGCUAAGUGUUAGGGGGUUUCCGCCCCUUAGUGCUGCAGCUAACGCAUUAAGCACUCCGCCUGGGGAGUACGGUCGCAAGACUGAAACUCAAAGGAAUUGACGGGGGCCCGCACAAGCGGUGGAGCAUGUGGUUUAAUUCGAAGCAACGCGAAGAACCUUACCAGGUCUUGACAUCCUCUGACAACCCUAGAGAUAGGGCUUUCCCUUCGGGGACAGAGUGACAGGUGGUGCAUGGUUGUCGUCAGCUCGUGUCGUGAGAUGUUGGGUUAAGUCCCGCAACGAGCGCAACCCUUGAUCUUAGUUGCCAGCAUUCAGUUGGGCACUCUAAGGUGACUGCCGGUGACAAACCGGAGGAAGGUGGGGAUGACGUCAAAUCAUCAUGCCCCUUAUGACCUGGGCUACACACGUGCUACAAUGGACAGAACAAAGGGCUGCAAGACCGCAAGGUUUAGCCAAUCCCAUAAAUCUGUUCUCAGUUCGGAUCGCAGUCUGCAACUCGACUGCGUGAAGCUGGAAUCGCUAGUAAUCGCGGAUCAGCAUGCCGCGGUGAAUACGUUCCCGGGCCUUGUACACACCGCCCGUCACACCACGAGAGUUUGCAACACCCGAAGUCGGUGAGGUAACCUUUAGGGGCCCACCCU
rnacentral:rRNA from 1 species